GGGUGGAGCAACCUGAGAUGAGGUCACAGAGGCAGACAGGGGCUGGGGUGUAGGACUUUCUGGCCAGUUUAAAAAGUAUGGAUUUGUUCUAGGAGCAAUGUGAAGCCAUAUGAAAAUAAUAACUACAUACCUCAUAGAUUUGGUGAGAGUUUUAAAUGACUUCAUAUUUAUGAAGUGUUUAGAACAGAGGCUGGCAUAUGAUCUGAAGAGCAGUACAGACUAAGCGAAGGAGAAAAGAAUGAGGAGCAGGAAGAGGAGAAAAGAAAGACCACCAUGUAUGCAGAGUGCCCAAAGAGAGCCAUUCCUGUGCUUUUUCUGCAACAGCAUCUUCCUUGGGAAACAGCUGAAUGUGGCUACUGCUUCCACUUGGAAAAUUAGAGUACAGCAACCAUGCUAUUAGAAAUCUUGUGCUCUUUGAUGUUGGCGUUUGGUAUUUUUGGCUAAAAAUUAAGCUGAGAUCGUUUAAACAUGUCUGACACAUGGACUGGGCCUGUAUCUUAGUGAGUUUUCUUUGUUUUGUCAGUCUACCCAUUAUUUCAUCUCCUUUAAUCAAACAUUUUAUUGUACUUUUGCAAUAUUAUCAGGCGAGACGGUGAGUGUCAAUAUCAGUAAGAUUACCUGUGCUGUGAUGUUUCUGAAACAUCUGGUGUCUAGGUCAGGCUUUUCUCAGCUUUUUACUUUGUUUUUGGUGCACUUAGGAUCUUUUCUAACACAUGGACACUCCUAUUCAGCCAUCUCUUCUUCAAGCUAUUCUUCUUCAUAUAAUUUUUCCUUAAAGUCCAAUUUUUAUAAAUGAUUAAUUCUUAUUGUUUUCUUCAGGACCACUCAAAGAUAACUUCCCUUAUCUCCUUCAAUUUUUACUUGAAAAUAAAAUAUUACUCUAGACAAAGAAAUUUUUGACUUAAAUUCUCCCACUACCCAGGCCACCAGAUUUUAUAAUACGCAAGUAGUUGGAGACUAUUCAAAGUCCAGUCAGGUGCUUACCUUUCUAUCCUGACUCUUUAUCUGCAAAUCUCUUUCUGUCUUUCUUGUUUUCUUUACCCUAUUUUCCUCACUAUCAAAUAUUUUUAUCACCCUUAAAUACAGUUCACUGGAUUAGGCUUGCAUUUAAGAAAAGUUAUGCUGUCUAUUCUUUUCUAUAACAAUACCAUAUUUAAAAAUUUCCUGUGAUAUGGG
rnacentral:lncRNA from 1 species